AGCGUACACGGUGGAUGCCCUGGCAGUCAGAGGCGAUGAAGGACGUGCUAAUCUGCGAAAAGCGCCGGCGAGGUGAUAUGAACCUUUGACCCGGCGAUGUCCGAAUGGGGAAACCCAGUGUGUUCCGACACACUAUCGUUAACUGAAUACAUAGGUUAACGAGGCGAACCGGGGGAACUGAAACAUCUAAGUACCCCGAGGAAAAGAAAUCAACCGAGAUUCCCCCAGUAGCGGCGAGCGAACGGGGAGCAGCCCAGAGUCUGAAUCAGCUUGUGUGUUAGUGGAAGCGUCUGGAAAGUCGCACGGUACAGGGUGACAGUCCCGUACACGAAAGCACACAGGUUGUGAACUCGAAGAGUAGGGCGGGACACGUGGUAUCCUGUCUGAAUAUGGGGGGACCAUCCUCCAAGGCUAAAUACUCCUGACUGACCGAUAGUGAACCAGUACCGUGAGGGAAAGGCGAAAAGAACCCCGGCGAGGGGAGUGAAAAAGAACCUGAAACCGUGUACGUACAAGCAGUGGGAGCACCUUCGUGGUGUGACUGCGUACCUUUUGUAUAAUGGGUCAGCGACUUAUAUUCUGUAGCAAGGUUAACCGUAUAGGGGAGCCGAAGGGAAACCGAGUCUUAACUGGGCGUUAAGUUGCAGGGUAUAGACCCGAAACCCGGUGAUCUAGCCAUGGGCAGGUUGAAGGUUGGGUAACACUAACUGGAGGACCGAACCGACUAAUGUUGAAAAAUUAGCGGAUGACUUGUGGCUGGGGGUGAAAGGCCAAUCAAACCGGGAGAUAGCUGGUUCUCCCCGAAAGCUAUUUAGGUAGCGCCUCGUGAACUCAUCUUCGGGGGUAGAGCACUGUUUCGGCUAGGGGGCCAUCCCGGCUUACCAACCCGAUGCAAACUACGAAUACCGAAGAAUGUUAUCACGGGAGACACACGGCGGGUGCUAACGUCCGUCGUGAAGAGGGAAACAACCCAGACCGCCAGCUAAGGUCCCAAAGUCAUGGUUAAGUGGGAAACGAUGUGGGAAGGCACAGACAGCCAGGAUGUUGGCUUAGAAGCAGCCAUCAUUUAAAGAAAGCGUAAUAGCUCACUGGUCGAGUCGGCCUGCGCGGAAGAUGUAACGGGGCUAAACCAUGCACCGAAGCUGCGGCAGCGACGCUUAUGCGUUGUUGGGUAGGGGAGCGUUCUGUAAGCCGUUGAAGGUGGCCUGUGAGGGUUGCUGGAGGUAUCAGAAGUGCGAAUGCUGACAUAAGUAACGAUAAAGCGGGUGAAAAGCCCGCUCGCCGGAAGACCAAGGGUUCCUGUCCAACGUUAAUCGGGGCAGGGUGAGUCGACCCCUAAGGCGAGGCCGAAAGGCGUAGUCGAUGGGAAACAGGUUAAUAUUCCUGUACUUGGUGUUACUGCGAAGGGGGGACGGAGAAGGCUAUGUUAGCCGGGCGACGGUUGUCCCGGUUUAAGCAUGUAGGCGGAACGAUUAGGUAAAUCCGGUCGUUUUUUAACGCUGAGGUGUGAUGACGAGGCACUACGGUGCUGAAGUAACAAAUGCCCUGCUUCCAGGAAAAGCCUCUAAGCAUCAGGUAACAUCAAAUCGUACCCCAAACCGACACAGGUGGUCAGGUAGAGAAUACCAAGGCGCUUGAGAGAACUCGGGUGAAGGAACUAGGCAAAAUGGUGCCGUAACUUCGGGAGAAGGCACGCUGAUAUGUAGGUGAAGCCCCUGCGGGUGGAGCUGAAAUCAGUCGAAGAUACCAGCUGGCUGCAACUGUUUAUUAAAAACACAGCACUGUGCAAACACGAAAGUGGACGUAUACGGUGUGACGCCUGCCCGGUGCCGGAAGGUUAAUUGAUGGGGUUAGCGGCAACGCGAAGCUCUUGAUCGAAGCCCCGGUAAACGGCGGCCGUAACUAUAACGGUCCUAAGGUAGCGAAAUUCCUUGUCGGGUAAGUUCCGACCUGCACGAAUGGCGUAAUGAUGGCCAGGCUGUCUCCACCCGAGACUCAGUGAAAUUGAACUCGCUGUGAAGAUGCAGUGUACCCGCGGCAAGACGGAAAGACCCCGUGAACCUUUACUAUAGCUUGACACUGAACACUGGUCCUUGAUGUGUAGGAUAGGUGGGAGGCUUUGAAGCGUGGACGCCAGUCUGCGUGGAGCCGUCCUUGAAAUACCACCCUUUAAUGGCUGGUGUUCUAACGUAGACCCGUAAUCCGGGUUGCGGACAGUGUCUGGUGGGUAGUUUGACUGGGGCGGUCUCCUCCCAAAGAGUAACGGAGGAGCACGAAGGUUAGCUAAUCCUGGUCGGACAUCAGGAGGUUAGUGCAAUGGCAUAAGCUAGCUUGACUGCGAGAGUGACGGCUCGAGCAGGUGCGAAAGCAGGUCAUAGUGAUCCGGUGGUUCUGAAUGGAAGGGCCAUCGCUCAACGGAUAAAAGGUACUCCGGGGAUAACAGGCUGAUACCGCCCAAGAGUUCAUAUCGACGGCGGUGUUUGGCACCUCGAUGUCGGCUCAUCACAUCCUGGGGCUGAAGUAGGUCCCAAGGGUAUGGCUGUUCGCCAUUUAAAGUGGUACGCGAGCUGGGUUUAGAACGUCGUGAGACAGUUCGGUCCCUAUCUGCCGUGGGCGCUGGAGAAUUGAGGGGGGCUGCUCCUAGUACGAGAGGACCGGAGUGGACGCAUCACUGGUGUUCGGGUUGUCAUGCCAAUGGCACUGCCCGGUAGCUAAAUGCGGAAAAGAUAAGUGCUGAAAGCAUCUAAGCACGAAACUUGCCCCGAGAUGAGUUCU
rnacentral:rRNA from 1 species